AGACCACAAUUAAUGACCCUACUUUUCGUUGUCCACGAAUAUAGUUCCCUUUAAUUAAAGUGUAUUUUUUCUUUAUUUUUUUUCUUUGCCUUUCUCAUUCAUUUCUUAGUUUUUAUGGGGUGGAAAUGAAAGAAGAGAGGUGAAAUAAAUUUUUGGAUGUUGUAUUUUAACUGAUUUUGAUAUGGAAAGAGUGAUUAGGCUAAGUGCAAAAAGGUAAUAUUUACAGUUUUCGGAACAUCUCUUGACUUGUCCAUAGGGGUAUGGAUGUGUAUUGGCUAAAUUUGUAAGAUCUUGGGGAGCGAUUUUUCUGAAUUUUGGAUAUGUUUUUGGACUAGUACUAUACAUUACACACACAAAAGAUUAGACAAAAAGAACCGGGGCAAUUUUUUUAAUGAGACAAAAAGUUAUAAAGAACUAAUAGAGGAAUUAAUUGUGGUCUGUGGCCUAAGAGGCUGAUACCCAAAAUCUUGAAAAUAAAGAAAGGACCAACUUUAUUGGCAGAAAGUCACUUCAAAUGAUAAAUAGUAAUGGUUUAUUGUAAUUUUAUUCAAUAUAAAUCUUUAAACCUGUUAUAAUAUGCAAUUUUAGGCAUUUUGGGCCAUUUUUGGCCAUUUUGAUGUACUGAAAGCCCUUUGACCCCAGUUUCAGUCCUUUCUGUCAAUAAUGUUGGACCCUUUUUAUAUUUUAGAAUAUAUUACUACUCUAUUGUCUUACAAACCAUCACAUCUUCAAAAUGGAUGCCUUUUAUCACAAAUAUAAUCAAAAAUUAAUAGAUAGCUCUGCACCUGGCUAUAAUGGGCAGUGUCACAUUUGGACAGGUUUAUGUACACCUAAUGGCAAAUAUGGAGUUAUUAAUUGUAAAUUUCCAGAUGCCAGAGGGUGGAGACAAAUGCAUGUGCACAGACUUGCCUACAUGGUGCAUCAUCAGAAUAUUUUAAUUGAUAAAACUGAUGAUGUUUCGCACCUGUGCCACAAUUCGAAAUGCAUUACUGUCGAACAUCUGUCGUUGGAACCUCAUGGUUUCAACAACAGCCGACAGUCAUGCGUUUCAACCGGUUCCUGCUUGGGCCACCCAGAUCCCCUCCCUCCCUGCAGGGUGGAGUUGAAAAUGGAUAACAAUAAUUUGGGUAAAAUAAUUAUCGGGUACUUUUUUAUUUUUAUUUUACUUAUAUUUUUUUUCUGGGGCAGGCUAAAAUAUAUUUUUAUCAGAAUGAAUGGGAGAAAAAAAGAAAAGAAAUUUGAAAGCUAAUGUACAACAACUUCAGAUUCUUUUUUUAAUAUUUGUGUGGUCCUGAAAAGGACCUUUUAUGAUUUGGUUUGCUGGUUGAUCUGUCAUCUCAGUCAGUAGCUGGUCUUGGAAGCUUUGGUUUGCAGUAGCUGUCAUGGUCCUGGAACUGUAAGGCAGGCUGUGGAUCUAGUUGACCUUUGCAGUAAUAGUCAUGCUUUUUGUUCAUUUCUCUCCAUGUCUUGUGCUCUGCAAGCUUUUCUGCAUUCUGCUUUAAUCUCCUUGCUUGAACUGUUGGUCUUAGUAUGUAAUCUUGGUUGUAUUGAAAGUCAGUGUCCAUUUUCUUCAGGUGAAGUUUACUUCGUUCUGAAAGGUCUACUCCUAGAUUCGUACAUUUAAGUUGUGUCGAGGUUCCCGGCAUGUUGUUAUUUCUAUGUACUCCUGAAGCAAGUCGUCCUUCCAUAUUUUUGGAGUAUAUUACAUUUUUGGGCAAAUUAACACUCAGUGCUCUAUGAACUCCUUCAUUUUUGUUGGUAUUGUCAUAAAGUUUCAUACUUUCAAUAGCUGCUGUAGUUAAUUUCAUUUUCAGGAUUUCUUGAAGUAAAAAUUUGUCUGUUUUAUCCAUUUGCAGGGCAGUGAUCUGGUAUGUGGACAAGUAAGACGAACGACUCCACCAGUUAAUUGCAGCAUCACCUUUGCAGACAAUGGAAUAUUCAUGACACUGGGUGCAGUCACCAUCAUAGCAGCGAAGAGUUGCAUCGAGCACUUUUGGUCAUCAUUAGCUUGUGGUCGAAGAGUACAGAUGUGACCAGUCGCCUCUUUGCAGUCAGGAGAUUGUAAAGUUUGCCGCACAUAGGAAGUACUUGCACUAGCUGAAUCAGGCAUUUGUAUUGACGUCAGGCCUCCACUUAUAACAUUUGUGCCAGCUUGGAACCAACUAGGAUUUCUUGGUGAGUUAGAGUUGUCUUUCUUUGACCUUUUCUUGCCUUUGGAAUAUGGGGUACUACCCUUAGUGAACAUUUUGAAAAGUUAAACUGUAUCAGUAAUAUCGCAACUUGGACUAAUGGAAUAAACUUUGGACAUCCUUAUAUUUAUAAUCAAGUGGUGUACAAUAUCUGCUUUGAUGUACAUUAUUUCCUUUGAUGCAAUCUGUGGUGUGGUGUUCCAGAGACCACAUUCAGUGUUUUCUUAGCAGUAUCCAGUUGAGCCAAUUAUUCUAUUAUCAGGGGUCCAGAUUAAGAUUGUUUGAUCAAAAUCUAUGAAAAUAUGUUACUUUAUAAUAUUUGAGUAAUCAAUUUAACAAAAAGGCAUAUGGGAAUUUUUUUAUUAAUUUUUUAAAUAACUUUUGUUGUUGAAAUGUGAUAUAUCUUUUAAAUAUUUUUUUUCUUUCAGAAAUCUUUUAUAACAUUAAAAUUUCUUUCAUGAUAAAAAUAAACAAAAAGGAAAGCUUCACUAAAAAGUUUAUUUCAGGGUGAUAUUUCAAGGAAUAAAGAAAUUACACUAGUUUGAAAUUUUCAUUACAUGUAAUAUGACCUGAUGAUACAUAUGCAUUUUGGUACCUCAGGUGAACAGGCCAAAUACCUGUGAAUUUUGUCUAAUUAGUGUUUGAGUUAUAUUUUACUUAUUACAGAUAAGAUAAGCUAAUUUUUAAGAUAAGUUUUGAAAGUGAGAUUUCUAUUUAAGUAUUUUUAAAGGAAUUUUAUUUCUUUUCAGUGUUGUUAAUUUAACUAAAAGUACAAGAAUUUUUGUAAAAAAAUUAUUUCAAUUGAAAAAACAUAAUUUUUGAUAAAUUUUCUUUCAGAUUCUAAAAAUUUAACCAUUUAGCUACUAUAGACAUUUUACUUUUUUAAGAUAUCAUGUUUAACAAGAAAGUUAUGAAACUUUAACUUUUCCUAGUAGUUACAUGUUUUAAAAAUUUCAUGCCAGAAAAUUCCUAGAAUUAUUAACAUUAGGGUAGUGUUAUUAAAACUAUCCGGACUGCCAUUAAACUUGUCGGAUUGAUUUGAAAUUUGGUAUGCUGGUUCGAUAUAGAAUAAGCUUAAUGCAUGAUAUUUUUUGGGGCAUUUUAUUGAAGAAUAAGGGUCUAAUAGGCCCAAGACCACAAUUAAUGACCCUACUUUUCGUUGUCCACGAAUA